rnacentral:rRNA from 1 species
AUUGAACGCUGGCGGCAUGCCUUACACAUGCAAGUCGAACGGCAGCACGGGAGCAAUCCUGGUGGCGAGUGGCGAACGGGUGAGUAAUAUAUCGGAACGUGCCCAGUCGUGGGGGAUAACGUAGCGAAAGCUACGCUAAUACCGCAUACGAUCUAUGGAUGAAAGCGGGGGAUCGCAAGACCUCGCGCGAUUGGAGCGGCCGAUAGCAGAUUAGGUAGUUGGUGAGGUAAAGGCUCACCAAGCCGACGAUCUGUAGCUGGUCUGAGAGGACGACCAGCCAAACUGGGACUGAGACACGGCCCAGACUCCUACGGGAGGCAGCAGUGUGGAAUUUUGGACAAUGGGCGCAAGCCUGAUCCAGCAAUGCCGCGUGCAGGAUGAAGGCCUUCGGGUUGUAAACUGCUUUUGUACGGAACGAAACGGCGAGCUCUAAUACAGUUUGCUAAUGACGGUACCGUAAGAAUAAGCACCGGCUAACUACGUGCCAGCCGCCGCGGUAA